AUGGUCUUUGGGAAGACCGUGGCUGACCCUUGUCUUGCUCUAGGACAAGUCUCUAUUCUGGUGCUUCCAACAUUGGUUUGGACGUUUGCUAGGGUUAUAGGGAAGCUUAUCUUCCUAGAACAAACGACUUUCAUUAGAGGGAGGCAGCUGAUGGAUGAUGUGGUCGCUCUCUAUGAGGUUUUUAGAUUUUAGCAUGGAGUCAAAGUAACCAUCCAUAAGGAAAAACUCGUCCGAGUGUAG